CGUUCUUGGAGUCUCCAUAAGGUUGAGAGAGUUUUAGAUCAUUAGCUCGAGUUAGAGGUCGAGUCGAAGACUGGCAUGGAUUUCAAUUCAACUUGGAAACGGAGACAUCCUCUUGUACUCCGCAUAAAGGGAGGUCUCUAUCAUCUGAUUCAGCGUCUGUUCUCUUAAUCGAAGAAUUUGAGGCUUCUCACCUGUGUAGAGAUAGAAAUUGGGUUCAAAGCUUGUCCCGGCGAUCGGUGAUUUUGAUUCAAAUGCAAGAGUAAAAUAGAGGUGACUUCUCCAAUCUGCUCUGCCUUCUGAACCUUUUGUUCCUUUUGGUUUGUGGGAGACGAAACAUUGAGGCUGAGCUCUAUGUCAUCCUGCUUGACAUUUUGAAUUGGUAGUUUAGGCUUUGUGGCUUUGUAUUGCUUGUUUUUGGGAAGUGGUGGUGCAAGACUUUUGCUAUGGUGGAAGAAAGAAAACAAGGCAGAGUGGGAAGCUUCUGGUGUGAUGUGUAUCGCUGAGAUUGAAGGAAGAGAAGAUGGCAUUUUGUACAGAUUCUUUUAGCAUAAGAACUUGGUCGUUUAUGAACGAUGUUACGUUCCAUCAUUAGAAGCUGCAGCAGCCAAGUACGUUGAGACUCCGACCGUUCAUGAACGACCAUAUCAGUCUAAACGCAAGAGAAAUUUUCUCGGCCGUUCUUGAACGACCGUGGUUGUUUUCAAAAGGGUAUUGGUUGUUCAUGAAUAGCCCCCCUUUGCUUGAAGCAAACCAGUUAAUUCUCUGCCAGAGAAGACAAGAACAACAUGACGCAGCGUAUACCUGAAAGUCUCCUUUCCGAGCUGCUUUGAUUUUGCCCUCUGUUUUGGCAGAGCCUUGGCUUCUUGCUUGCUGCCUAUUUUUCUCCUCUCUCUCUCCGUUAUAUAGCAGUAGUUUGAUAAGUGUAGUUGGGUAGCUGAUAACCCUUUCCAACUUUGUAUUUGAAUUUGAAUGAUAAGUUUAUCUCCAGCUGUUAUCUUCACAUUUGAAUCGGUCAAGCACUUAACCAACACUUGAAUAGUCAAAGCUAGCCGAACAUGUAUCCUUGACAUAAGUUUGAA